UAAAUGCAUUUUCUGGUAUCUGA
rnacentral:miRNA from 1 species